rnacentral:lncRNA from 1 species
CAAUAAUCCAUCAAGUAAGCAUAACUCUGACAUAAAGUAAAUAAAAAAAAAAAAAAAAUUAAAAAAAAAAAUUUAAUAAUAAUUAUAAUAAAAAUUUAAAUGAAAAACUGUUCAACAUCAAUACUUAUCAUAAAUAUUCCGACUCAAAACACUUCCUCUAAGAGUUUUUUCAUCUCACUCAUAAUACUUUUUCUAUCCAAAUUUCCGAUGUUUUUUCCCAUACCAUACAUACUGUGGCUUAAACUGAUAACUUACUAUUCCUCCUUAACAGCCAAGAGUUGACUGUUUUACCAAGUCCAUUUCGAACUGCUAUGAUCGUUUAAUAAUGUCAUUUUGCACAUAUUUGUUUGCCAUAUGCAUGCACAUUUGCCAUGCCCCUUGUCCAUCUUCUAUGUGCUGCUGGAAAGUCGGGUAAACGGGUAAAAUUGAAGGUUUGUAGCAUGUGUGUAUGUGCUAUCCCAUCUAAUGAGCUUGGAUGGAGUUAUUUGCUUACUGAUAUUGCAAAGGGGGAAAAGCGAAUUGGAGACUUUUUUCUUGCAUUAGAAGGGUACUAUUGAUUACCUUUUGUUUAAUAGGGCACCUUGGCAGAAUGCGAAAAAGUAAGCCAGAAAAAAAGGAAACUCUAGAAAAAGAGAGGCAAUUGAUUAAAGAGUAUUAAUAAUAAUAAUAUUUAAAGGAAGAAAAGAAAAGAAAGCCAAUAAUCGACUGCUAGAAUAUCCAACCCAUUUAAAUUUUUCAUUUUUUUAACGAACUCUCGGCCCAUCUCGAAAACAUAUUUUAUCGAUACCAGCCUUCUACUUCAUUAACAAGGAUAGAGUACCGAUGGACUACGAUAGGUGAUUUCGCUGCACCCGAUUGCUGUAUAUUGUAUUUCGCCCCUGUGACCGUUAAGAUUUUGGUCAGACUGAGUGCAGCUUUCGGGGUGCAAUAGUAAUGCCAAAAAUUCAAUGGCGUGACAUGCGAUAAUAUCGAAAUUUCUGUAAUGUAAAGCGACUCAACUUUUUCCUGUUCGACAAAAUUUGAUCAUAGGGGAAAAAACGAGAUGAAGUUUGGCUAUUCAUAUAACGAUGAAUUUUAUGUGCUGGAGGGAGCUCGGUUGAACCUAUUACCAUAAGUAUUUUUUACAAACACAUAAUUUUACUGUUUCGUAGCACGGUCUAUUAUUGUAGAAAUGUUUUAACCUUUAUAAGCGAGAUAAAACAGUCAACUCGUUACGCAAACUUAUCGACACUUUGCGAGAGUUAAAGUUACCAAGCUUUCCUACAUCGCUGGUUGGAAAGACAUAGUUAAAAUGAAGCUGGUUUGCUGGCUUUCAAAAUAGGAAGAUUUCCCAAUGUUUUAGUAUAUAACCGAGAUCGCUUAAAAUACUUUACUCUGAUAUCAACAACUCUAUGUUCAUAUCCGUUAUCAAUCAACAGGGAAUUGAGGAACCGUAGCAGUUUUUGUUAAAGUAGAGAAAAUGUCAAGUGACCCAUAAACUUGUAAAUUGGAGAUGAACGAACCCCUUAAAAAACCCAUUAACGAAACGAUUCCCUCUUUUUUUCUCAUACAAUGAGUUCUUAAUAAUAAAACUCACAUGACAAGUCGGUUCAUGAAUUCACUUUACUUUGCACUAGACUGCUACAAUUCCCUCUCCUUGAAAUUUCCAGUACUGCAUUGGGACGAAGUUGCCUAGUGUCUUGCCGUCGAAAGGCAGUUUUUGACUCGGCAAGCUUAGAACGUUUUCAUGAAACUCUAUCAAUUGCAUAAAUGGAUGCAAAGACAAACUAUUCACGGCAUUUGUUUAAACUAUUUUUGGAUACCGCGAUGUAAAUAGUAUGUAUACGGCCUUGAUAUCCUACUGUACCAACUGUAUACUAAAUAACGAUGCGAAGCGUAGAGGGUUGAAAUCAGUAGGAAAAAAUACCUACUUUCUGGAUUAUAAUUUCAACCAUUCUUUAUGAGAAUACAUUCAUGUUGUAUUUAGGAUCGGUAAUUAUAGUAAUCUACCUUCUCUUUCAUCAAAACACACUCUUCAACAUGCUAAAAGAUCGAUACAAAAUAAAAUCGCAAAUGGGAUAGUCCGCGCUAUGUUAUAGAGCAUUACGUUGCCAUUACUCACCCCACAUUCAGUUACUCUAUUAUACGUAGUUUGUGAUACUUAAGGUGAUAUCGUAUACUAUGUAAAGACAUGCACCAA